rnacentral:rRNA from 1 species
GACGAACGCUGGCGGCGUGCCUAAUACAUGCAAGUAGAACGCUGAAGGAGGAGCUUGCUCUUCUGGAUGAGUUGCGAACGGGUGAGUAACGCGUAGGUAACCUGCCUGGUAGCGGGGGAUAACUAUUGGAAACGAUAGCUAAUACCGCAUAAUAGUAGAUGUUGCAUGAUAUUUACUUAAAAGGUGCAAUUGCACCACUACCAGAUGGACCUGCGUUGUAUUAGCUAGUUGGUGGGGUAACGGCUCACCAAGGCGACGAUACAUAGCCGACCUGGGAGGGUGGUCGGCCACACUGGGACUGAGACACGGCCCAGACUCCUACAGGAGGCAGCAGUAGGGAAUCGUCGGUAAUGGACGAAAGUCUGACCGAGCAACGCCGCGGGAGUGAAGAAGGUUUUCGGAUCGUAAAGCUCUGUUGUAAGAGAAGAACGAGUGUGAGAGUGGAAAGUUCACACUGUGACGGUAUCUUACCAGAAAGGGACGGCUAACUACGUG